AUAUUAAUAAACACAAUAAUCAUCUGAGGUAGGUAGUUGUAUGAGAUAAU
rnacentral:guide_RNA from 1 species